ACCAUAUCUAGCGUACACGGUUCUCUCGAAUCGCAAGAUCGAGAGCUAAGAGGGAAUCCGGAUCAGGCGUGCUCGCCGAGGCCGGAGCUGCCCCCGCAACUGUAGGCGGAGAGCCUCGUCCGACUGUGCCACUGAGAUCGCGAGGUCUCGGGAAGGCCGGACGGGGCCGUGACCCGCGAGCCAGGAGACCUGCCGUGACAUGAACGCGAAC
rnacentral:ncRNA from 2 species